CCUACGGGUGGCAGCAGUGAGGAAUAUUGGUCAAUAGGCGCGAGCCUGAACCAGCCAAGUCGCGUGAAGGAUGACUGCCCUACGGGUUGUAAACUUCUUUUAUAAAGGACUACAGUGAGGCACGUGUGCCUUUUUGUAUGUACUUUAUGCAUAAGGAUCGGCUAACUCCGUGCCAGCAGCAGCGUUAAUACGUAGGAUCCGAGCGUUAUCAGGAUUUAUUGGGUUUAAAGGGAGCGUAGAUGGGUUGUUAAGUCAGUUGUGAAAGUUUGCGGCUCAACCGUAAAAUUGCAAUUGAUACUGGCAGUCUUGAGUACAGGUGAGGUAGGCGGAAUGCGUGGUGUAGCGGUGAAAUGCUUAGAUAUCACGAAGAACUCCGAUUGCGAAGGCAGCUUACUAAACUGCCACUGACAUUGAUGCUCGAAAGUGUGGGUAUCAAACAGGAUUAGAUACCCGGGUAGUC
rnacentral:rRNA from 1 species